rnacentral:lncRNA from 1 species
AAAAGACAACCAUCAAAGCAUGACACUGAUACAGCAGCUCCAAGCUUGCCUACAUCCAAAAGCUUCUUGAUAUCCCUGGAUAUUCUUCACAUGCCAUUACUGCUUUAGAGAAAAUAGAGGAAGGGUCAGGAUGGAGGUAUUUUGCAUUGGAAUUAUCUUCUGCCACUUUGUGCAACAAAAAAUAAAAUGGAUUAUCAGGAGAAGUAGCUAGUAGAACAAUAUUCAAAUGUUAUGCAUGCUCAUGAAUCAAAUAACAAAUCUACUACAACAAUAUAGUUUUUAUUCACCAAAAAGCUUUAGGAACAAAGGUUAUGGCUCCAUAUACUAGAAUGAUGAAUUUUAGUUUAUAGUUUAUACUCCAACAGAACAAAACUCUAAGGAUACAAAGAAAGCAACAUAGACACAAACAACCCGCUGUAGGCUUGGACUAGCCAUUUGUCAAUUGUCACACAAAAGGAAAAUCCACGGUGAAAAAUGUGAAUCAAAAAUCAUGCAUAAGCUCAAGGUAUUGCAGGAUAAAUAUAGUGGUUAACAUACCUAUAAAACAGCAGCUCCAAGCUUGCAUACAUCCAAAAGCUUCUUGAUAUCCUUAGUUCUUCAUGUGGCAUUUUUGGUUUAGAGAAAAUAGAGAAAGGAUCAGGAUGGAUGUAGUUCAACAUCAAAAAUUUCUUCUUCCACUUUGUGCAUAAUCAAAUAAAAUGGACUAACAGAGAACAUCACUACUAGGUGAUUGGUAGCAAUUAGAACAACACUGAUAGGUGAUAAGUAUAGCAACUACAACAGCAAUACAAGAUAAGUGGCAAUUAUAACAACACUACUAGGUGAUAAUUGACAAGUAGCAAUUAG